CCAGUUAUUUAUGUAAAGAAAAUAUAUUUCUUUAAUCUAUUGCUCAGUGCUGAACGCCGGUGAGCAGUGACAGGUUGCAUACAGAAUAGCAUAGAUGGCGCUAUUCAUAACAGCGUUCUGCGCAGUCGUUAAAAUAGAACGGUUGCUAGGUGAUAGAAUAUAACUCGUUAUGUCACGUAUGUCAUGGAAAUGCAAAUUGUACAACAAUAAAUAAGAUAAUAAAUAAUAUAAAAAGGAAUUGUAAGAAAUAGACUUAAAAUGUCGUUUCUCUAAUUUCAGAGCAACGUCAUUGUUUAUUUCAAGUUCUAGUAAAAUAGACACUUAACGGUCUUAUAUUUAUAU